rnacentral:rRNA from 1 species
GGCGCACGGGUGCGUAACGCGUAUGCAAUCUACCUUUUGCAGAGGGAUAGCCCAGAGAAAUUUGGAUUAAUACCUCAUAGUAUAGCAGUUUCGCAUGAAACCACUAUUAAAGUCACAACGGCAAAAGAUGAGCAUGCGUCCCAUUAGCUAGUUGGUAAGGUAACGGCUUACCAAGGCUACGAUGGGUAGGGGUCCUGAGAGGGAGAUCCCCCACACUGGUACUGAGACACGGACCAGACUCCUACGGGAGGCAGCAGUGAGGAAUAUUGGACAAUGGGCGCAAGCCUGAUCCAGCCAUGCCGCGUGCAGGAUGACGGUCCUAUGGAUUGUAAACUGCUUUUGUACAGGAAGAAACACUCCCUCGUGAGGGAGCUUGACGGUACUGUAAGAAUAAGGAUCGGCUAACUCCGUGCCAGCAGCCGCGGUAAUACGGAGGAUCCAAGCGUUAUCCGGAAUCAUUGGGUUUAAAGGGUCCGUAGGCGGUUUAGUAAGUCAGUGGUGAAAGCCCAUCGCUCAACGGUGGAACGGCCAUUGAUACUGCUAGACUUGAAUUAUUAGGAAGUAACUAGAAUAUGUAGUGUAGCGGUGAAAUGCUUAGAGAUUACAUGGAAUACCAAUUGCGAAGGCAGGUUACUACUAAUGGGAUGACGC